AACGCACCUUGCGCUCUUGGGUAUUCCCAAGAGCAUGCCUGUUUGAGUGUCAUGAAUCCCUCACAAACCAUCUUUUUUUCUCUUAUGAAAGAAGGGUGGCGCGUGGAUUUGAGCAUCUGCCGUGAAAUUUUGUCUUGCACAGAAACACUCGGCUUGCUUUAAACAGAGUAGCAUUUGCAGUGGUUUGGGUCCUUUGACGCGCCGGUUGUUCAUUCAAUCGGCCGACCUUUGCGCUCUGAGAAAUCCUUUUUUUCUCCUCAUCGUUAUGGUUUUCACUCGAUGAGAAGGAUAAGGUUCUCGCUAACGAGCGCAUCUGGGUUGGAAUGUGUCAUUCGUUACGGUCCCUUUGCACAAAGCAGCUUUCUAAUCUGUCGGAACGUCUCUUUUGGGCGUUCUGCACAAUCAUUCAUUACUCUGGCCUCAAAUCAGGUAGGACUACCCGCUGAACUUAA
rnacentral:misc_RNA from 1 species